AUUGAACGCUGGCGGUAUGCUUAACACAUGCAAGUCGAACGGCAGCAUGGUCUAGCUUGCUAGACUGAUGGCGAGUGGCGGACGGGUGAGUAACGCGUAGGAAUAUGCCUUGAAGAGUGGGACAACUUGGGGAAACUCAAGCUAAUACCGCAUGUACUCGAGAGAGUAAAGCUGGGGACCUUUAGGCCUGGCGCUUUAAGAUUAGCCUGCGUCCGAUCAGCUAGUUGGUAGGGUAAAGGCCUACCAAGGCGACGAUCGGUAGCUGGUCUGAGAGGAUGAUCGGCCACACUGGAACUGAGAGACGGUCCGGACUCCUACGGGAGGCAGCAGUGGGGAAUAUUGGACAAUGGGGGGAACCCUGAUCCAGCAAUGCCGCGUGUGUGAAGAAGGCCUGAGGGUUGUAAAGCACUUUCAGUGGGGAGGAGGUUUGGAAGGUUAAGAGCUAUUCAAAUGGACGUUACCCACAGAAGAAGCACCGGCUAACUCCGUGCCAGCAGCCGCCGUAA
rnacentral:rRNA from 1 species